AGAGUUUGAUCAUGGCUCAGGAUGAACGCUGGCGGCGUGCUUAACACAUGCAAGUCGAACGAACCUUCGGGUUAGUGGCGGACGGGUGAGUAACGCGUGAGAAUCUGCCCUCAGGAGGGGGAUAACGGUUGGAAACGACCGCUAAUACCCCAUAUGCCUACUGGUGAAACGAAUUUCGCCUGAGGAUGAGCUCGCGUCUGAUUAGCUAGUUGGUGAGGUAAUGGCUCACCAAGGCUUCGAUCAGUAGCUGGUCUGAGAGGAUGAUCAGCCACACUGGGACUGAGACACGGCCCAGACUCCUACGGGAGGCAGCAGUGGGGAAUUUUCCGCAAUGGGCGAAAGCCUGACGGAGCAACGCCGCGUGAGGGACGAAGGCCUCUGGGCUGUAAACCUCUUUUCUCAAGGAAGAAGAUAUGACGGUACUUGAGGAAUAAGCCACGGCUAAUUCCGUGCCAGCAGCCGCGGUAAUACGGGAGUGGCAAGCGUUAUCCGGAAUUAUUGGGCGUAAAGCGUCCGCAGGCGGCUUUUCAAGUCUGCUGUUAAAACGUGGAGCUUAACUCCAUCAUGGCAGUGGAAACUGAAAGGCUUGAGUAUGGUAGGGGCAGAGGGAAUUCCCGGUGUAGCGGUGAAAUGCGUAGAUAUCGGGAAGAACACCAGUGGCGAAGGCGCUCUGCUGGGCCAUUACUGACGCUCAUGGACGAAAGCCAGGGGAGCGAAAGGGAUUAGAUACCCCUGUAGUCCUGGCCGUAAACGAUGAACACUAGGUGUCGGGGGAAUCGACCCCUUCGGUGUCGUAGCUAACGCGUUAAGUGUUCCGCCUGGGGAGUACGCACGCAAGUGUGAAACUCAAAGGAAUUGACGGGGGCCCGCACAAGCGGUGGAGUAUGUGGUUUAAUUCGAUGCAACGCGAAGAACCUUACCAGGGUUUGACAUCCUGCGAACCUCUUAGAAAUUUGAGGGUGCCUUCGGGAAUGCAGUGACAGGUGGUGCAUGGCUGUCGUCAGCUCGUGUCGUGAGAUGUUGGGUUAAGUCCCGCAACGAGCGCAACCCACGUUUUUAGUUGCCAGCAUUUAGUUGGGCACUCUAGAAAGACCGCCGGUGAUAAACCGGAGGAAGGUGUGGAUGACGUCAAGUCAUCAUGCCCCUUACACCCUGGGCUACACACGUACUACAAUGCUACGGACAAAGGGCAGCAAACUCGCGAGAGCUAGCAAAUCCCAUAAACCGUGGCUCAGUUCAGAUCGUAGGCUGCAACUCGCCUACGUGAAGUAGGAAUCGCUAGUAAUCGCAGGUCAGCAUACUGCGGUGAAUACGUUCCCGGGCCUUGUACACACCGCCCGUCACACCAUGGAAGUUGGCCAUGCCCGAAGUCGUUACUCCAACCCUUGUGGAGGAGGACGCCGAAGGUGGGGCUAAUGACUGGGGUGAAGUCGUAACAAGGUAACCGUA
rnacentral:rRNA from 1 species